UACAGAGGGUGCAAGCGUUAAUCGGAAUUACUGGGCGUAAAGCGCGCGUAGGCGGUUGCGUAAGUUGGAGGUGAAAUCCCCGGGCUCAACCUGGGCAUUGCCUUCAAAACUGCGCAGCUAGAGUAUUGGAGAGGAAGGUAGAAUUCCAGGUGUAGCGGUGAAAUGCGUAGAGAUCUGGAGGAAUACCGAUGGCGAAGGCA
rnacentral:rRNA from 1 species